rnacentral:lncRNA from 1 species
AACCUUAUAAUAUAAUCAUUUUUACAAUUUUAUAAUAAUAAUUUAAUAAAAUGCGAAUAAUGCACAUCUCACUGACACAAUCCAUUCGGUCAAAUAAAAUGUAAUGCAAGGCAGUCAUUUACACAGUUCAAUGAGAGAGUAAAGACAGAGGGUUCAUAGUUAAAUUUUCAGGGGGUUCAUUCAACAAAAAGUUAGAAAAUUAGGUGCAACUAUAAAAUUUGAG